GAUCCGCCUGCCUCGGCCUCCCAAAGUGCUGGGAUUACAGGCGUGAGCCACCGCUCCUGGCCCAUCUUGAUCUCUUUUAAACAAGAUCAGGCACGUUCAGGGUGGCAUGGCUGUAGACUUGAUCUCCUUCAGAACACUCCCAAGAAAAUAAGGAAGAUAUUCUGAUUUAAACCACAUCGUUAAACUAGAAGUUCAAUUAAUGAAUUGUAAAGACAGGUGGGCUUUUAUGACAUUGUAUUGCAAUGUGUUGAUGCUAGUUUUGAUAACAAAGACAUUUUUAAGAGCACCAUAAUGACCAGUAUUUUGAUUUUACUUAGAAAAAAGAGGGCAUCAAAACAAUUUUUUUGAAUGAGUUUUCCAAAAAGCUUCAGAUAAUAUCAAAGUUGUAUAUGGCAUAUCCCCAAAGAAGUUUUUCUGAUGUCCUUAAUCAUGAUUCAAAUGCUCAUUCAUCUUGUGAUUUUUAAAAUGUAUUAUAUAAAAGGAAGAUAAUAUAAAUAAUAUGUGGAAGAACUUCCAUAAUAUUGAAGUAAAUUGAAGCCAAUUAAUAAGCAUGGGUCCUUGUUUGCCUUGUUUUAUCAACCUAUGUAGAUUUCAAAAGUUUUGUCAAUUGAAAAAUCCCAAGUUCUAUAAAUUUGGAAAGGAGACUUUAUUUAUUAUAAAAAGGGUUACAGCUUCUAGGGUGGCCAUCAUCCUGACAGAUUUGGAAGUGUAGCCUCUGGCAGGGACUUGAAGGGGGCACUUUGAGGGAGGGGAGUGUGGGGCUGGGAUUUAUGCUAAACAGGUUGGCCCAGUACACAUAUUCAACAGGUUAUAGGAGGAGCUACAGAUAUUCCUGAAGUGGGGCCUGAUACAUAAACAAACAUGCAUGUUUCAUGCAUCCCAUGUUCACUUUGGUGUGGAGCCGUAAUAUUUAAACGCGUUACAGUUAGGCCUUAUAUGUCAAAAGGUGAAGCAGGGAGAUGAAGACACUCAAGUGUGCAGUCUCUUUAAAUGGGCUGGGACCAGUCCAUGGUCUCUGGUCUUUUAUCAGGAGAGUUACUGAAAUCAGUCUUGUCCAAUCAAAGUUAUAGUUAUGGCUUGUGGAACAGGGGACCAGUGAGUCAGCAUCUGGUGGUAGAGGAGCUGCAAUUAUUUCAAUAUUGCUUCUCUUAAGGCCUUUGCUUAUUUAGCUUCUGUAGAAGAAGAAAAACCUGUGGCAGUUAGAACACAGUUUAUUCUUUAAGUGUAGGGGUAUGUGGCUUAAUCCUUGACUGGGUGGCCUUAGGUCCUGUUUGUAAUUUGGUAUCUUACUGCUACAGAGUCCAUUUUAUCAGUCUUAUGAACUCUAUUUUAACACUAAUGCUGAUCAGUUGUGUCUAAACCACACAAAGAGGAGAUAUACCAAUGUGUGUCCAACCUCCUGUCCUGUCGUGGCCAGGAACUCCAUUUUUAAGGUUUCUCUGGGUCCUCUUGGCCAAGAGGGGCGUCCAUUCAGUUGGUUGGGGGCUUAGGAUUUUAUUUUUAGUUCUCAGUUUUGUACUGUGAAUGCUAGUUGAUUAAGUGAGAAGUUUGUGGCAAUUUUUAAAGAAAGGAUAGAUAUUAGAUUGCAUUAAAUAUUACCUCCUUGAUUAAACUAUUGUUAUUAGGGAGAAAGUAAGAUUGGGCCUGAGUAAUUUUGAAUGUAAGAAUGUAACUCUGUAUAAACAUUAGCAGUUUCUCUAAUUGAUGCUGCUUUAUUAAAAUAUCACUUUUUGUACUGGUGAAAGAGAAAAACAUUAAAGGAAUUUUUAUCUUAAAAUGUUCUCAUUCUUAUAAUUUUGGGGUGCAGGUUUUUGGGAGUUUCUCUGUUUCUCACUCUUCAAAGGAUAAAAGUCCUUUAGCUGAAAAUAAAACAUAUUGCAUUAUAUUUUAUUAAAAUAAUUAUUGUGGCGAAAAUAAAGGGUAUUACAUAACACUUUAUUAAAAUAAUUCUCUGCAAUUGAGAUUUAUAUUUUUUUCACUUCAGAAUACUUCUGCUUACUGUAAGCAUAAGUCCAAAACAAAUACACAAAGAAAGCAGCAGCCACCAUCUCCAAAUCUUAAUGUUGUGGUUUGAAAAUAUGUAUAUAAAUUCUUUGAUACACCUAUUUUCAAAGGGUGGAGCCUAAUGCCCUCCUCUUGAUGGAGGCUAGACUUAGUGACUUACUUCUAACAGAAUAUGGUGAAUGUGAUAGUGUGUGGAUUUUGAGAAUACCUAAAAAAAUCAUUGUGUUUUUUCUCUUGAUCCCUCUUUUGGAUCACUCACUCUGAGGGGAGGCCAGCUGCCAUGCUGUGAAAACACUCAAGCAGUCUCACAGAGUGUUCAAAUGGCAAGGUACUGAGGUGCCCUGGCAACGGCAAGGAACUGAGGCCUUCAUCCAAAGCCAUUAAGUGAGCCAUACUGGAAGCAGGUGCUCCGGUCCCUGGUGGUCUUGAGAUGACAGCAGCUUCAGUGUCUUGACUGCAACCUCAAGAAAGACCUUGAGCCAAAGCCAUCCAGAACAACAGAUGACACGAGAUGUCCCUGCUGGGGAGAAAAACUUGAUGAUCCCAUUGGCAAACCAGCUCCUGAGAUUUGUAUCAAGGCCUCUGCAUCUCACAGCUACCUUGUGUCUCCUCUAUUGAAAAGCUGCUGGGACUUUCAGAGACAUUCUACUAAUGGCAAGUUCUGAGAAGGAAAACAAAAAGAUGCCUUAGUUCCAUGGAAGGCUGCUCUGAGGGAUAUUCUGCUAAGUGGCAUCCAGACAGAACACGGAGAAGCUCCUCGAUUGCGUCUCUCCCCUGCCUUAUUGUUUCCUGCUGCCCUUGACACUCCACUGUUUGGGCUAUUGCAAGGUUAGAAGGAUGCUCACGACCAACGAGACAGAGUCCUUUGCAUAUGGCCUUGAGGAUGUGUGCUUCUGAAAUCUAACAAAGUUUCGCUCUUGUUGCACAGGCUGGAGUGCAAUGGCACGAUCUUGGCUCACCUCCUCCUCUGCGUCCUGUGUUCAAGCGAUUCUCCUGCCUCUCCUGGGAUUACGGGCAUGUGCCACCAUGCCCGGCCAAUUUUGAACACAGACAGCCUGCGUCCAGAAUCCCUGCUCUUUCCCUGUAUACCACAUGGCCUCCUGUGCACGAUCCAGAGGAGACAUCCAGGUGUUGGAUACAUGGGCCCGGGGUGCAGCAGAAAAGCAUUGCCCCAGUGCACAGCCAUAUCCAUAUGCCGUUGGCGCAUGGAUUGGAACAAAACCAUGGAACUCGAUGAAGGUAUGGCCUAAGAAGAUCAAGAAGCUAAGGAGGACCAGCAUUAUAGGGUGGGCCAGAAGAGUAGAUCCAACAAGUGUUAACCUAUGGGAGAAUGUCAGGGUAAAGCAGGUUGUCAACAUGACCCUAUGCCAUAGAGACAUCAGGGCUGAUUAAUGUAUCAGAGAAAGACAGAGAGAGUAAAGGAGAGAGAGACUGAUAUGGUUUGGCUGUGUCCCCACCCAAAUCUCAUCUUGAAUUGUAAUCCCCAGGAUUGCCACAUAUCAAGGGGGAGGGAUCCAGUGGGAGGUUAUUGGAUCAUGGAGGUGGUUUCCCCAUGCUGUUCUCGUGAUAGUGAGUGAGUUCUCAUGAGAUCCGAUGGUUUUAUAAGGCAGUUUUCCCUGCUCUUGCACGCUGUCUCUGUCUCCUGCCAUCAUGUAAGACAUGCCUCUUCCCCUUCUGCCAUGAUUGUAAGUUUCCUGACAUCUCCCCAGCCAUGGGGAACUGAGUCAGUUAAAUCUCUUUUCUUUAUAAAUUGCUCAGUCUCAGGUAGUAUCUUUAUAGCAAUGUGAGAAUGGAGUAAUACACAGGCUCAGAAAAGUUCCUUGCAUUUGGCAAUUGAGAGAAUAAUGGGAUGAUGACUUCUGUCAGAAAAGUUUGUGAUCAGGAGGUGGGGGUGGAAUUCUGACUUGGGUGGGCCAGAGGAACUCAACGGUGGAAAAAUAAGUGGUGACAUCAUAAAUUGACACCUGUGAGAGAUGGCGGAUGAACUGAAUAAAGUGUAGGGUAUUUAGCUUGUCAUGAUUGUCCCUGAGAAACAGGUUGCAGGAAUGCUACUUGCAUUGAAUAAUUUUAUUAGUUAUCAUUUAAUUCCUUUAAAUUGAUUUCUUUAGUUCCCUAUCAGAGACAAGCUCAAACUACACACAAUGAAUACAUCACGGACUUCUCCUUCUCUUUAUUUCGCUUCACUCUGGGCAAAUGAAAGACAACAAAUAAAUAUUGUGGAUCUUGGUAUUUAAUGGUUUAUAAUCAGAUAAUUGUUCACUGUCCAGUACUCACUGUUCCUAAUGCCCCCUAAUCCUUCAGGCAUCACAGAUAUGAAGUGGAUUUGGUAUCUGAUGCCUUUCUUUUUUUUGUUUGUCAAAUGAAUGAAUGAAUGAACCUAGUCCAAUCAUCUGUUUCCAAAAAGGAUGCCGCAAAGUACACUGGAAUAAGAUUCUAACUUCAGGCCUCUGAAUUAUCUGAAAGCCUACUCUAGUGUUUAAUCACCUGAAUCAUCAGGGAGUUUCUUCUUCAAUUUCAUGUAAUUAUAAUAUUUUCAAACCAUUUGCUCUAGAUUGGCCUUCAGGAGAGGGCCAGAAAUCAGCCUCCUGCAGCCUGCAAAGUUGGUGCCAGGCUGCUCCAUUGCUCAUUCCUGGAUUCCUGGAUGGAAACUCUCAACCCAACCUCAUGCUGCCUCCAAAGCCUCCCUCCCCUGCCACGUGUCUUCUCCCUCCAGGCCUCCACUUGGGCAGGGUGAAUGGGCUCUCCUCUCACCAGUAUCUGCUCUCAACAGCAGCAGCCUCUUCUCCUUCGCUAAAUCAAUCCCUAAAUCAAUCCCCAUCUACUUUGCAUUUGAAAAACAUGAAAAAAACGUGGCCCUUGAUAUCACCUGUUUUAUUUUUUGUUUUUGUUGUUUACGCCUUUGCAAUUUUUUCCCUCUAUAAUUGUAGUAGGGCCUUGGGAGUGAAAGAUAAUAAACAGCUUCUAUUUGUCA